CCUACGGGGGGCAGCAGUGAGGAAUAUUGGUCAAUGGGCGGGAGCCUGAACCAGCCACGUCGCGUGAAGGAAGAAGGUACUUAGUAUUGUAAACUUCUUUUGUCGGGGAACAAAGGCGGAGACGCGUCCCCGGAUGAGUGUACCCGAAGAAAAAGCAUCGGCUAACUCUGUGCCAGCAGCCGCGGUAAUACGGAGGAUGCGAGCGUUAUCCGGAUUUAUUGGGUUUAAAGGGUGCGCAGGCGGGAGAUCAAGUCAGCGGUAAAAUGUCGGGGCUCAACCCCGGCCGGCCGUGGAAACUGGUUUUCUAGAGUGGGAGAGAGGUAAGUGGAAUU
rnacentral:rRNA from 1 species